rnacentral:rRNA from 1 species
GACGAACGCUGGCGGCGUGCUUAACACAUGCAAGUCGAACGGAAAGGCCCUGCUUUUGUGGGGUGCUCGAGUGGCGAACGGGUGAGUAACACGUGAGUAACCUGCCCUUGACUUUGGGAUAACUUCAGGAAACUGGGGCUAAUACCGGAUAGGAGCUCCUGCUGCAUGGUGGGGGUUGGAAAGUUUCGGCGGUUGGGGAUGGACUCGCGGCUUAUCAGCUUGUUGGUGGGGUAGUGGCUUACCAAGGCUUUGACGGGUAGCCGGCCUGAGAGGGCGACCGGCCACAUUGGGACUGAGAUACGGCCCAGACUCCUACGGGAGGCAGCAGUGGGGAAUAUUGCACAAUGGGCGGAAGCCUGAUGCAGCAACGCCGCGUGCGGGAUGACGGCCUUCGGGUUGUAAACCGCUUUCGCCUGUGACGAAGCGUGAGUGACGGUAAUGGGUAAAGAAGCACCGGCUAACUACGUGCCAGCAGCCGCGGUGAUACGUAGGGUGCGAGCGUUGUCCGGAUUUAUUGGGCGUAAAGGGCUCGUAGGUGGUUGAUCGCGUCGGAAGUGUAAUCUUGGGGCUUAACCCUGAGCGUGCUUUCGAUACGGGUUGACUUGAGGAAGGUAGGGGAGAAUGGAAUUCCUGGUGGAGCGGUGGAAUGCGCAGAUAUCAGGAGGAACACCAGUGGCGAAGGCGGUUCUCUGGGCCUUUCCUGACGCUGAGGAGCGAAAGCGUGGGGAGCGAACAGGCUUAGAUACCCUGGUAGUCCACGCUGUAAACGGUGGGUACUAGGUGUGGGGUCCAUUCCACGGGUUCCGUGCCGUAGCUAACGCUUUAAGUACCCCGCCUGGGGAGUACGGCCGCAAGGCUAAAACUCAAAGGAGUUGACGGGGCCCCGCACAAGCGGCGGAGCAUGCGGAUUAAUUCGAUGCAACGCGUAGAACCUUACCUGGGUUUGACAUGGAUCGGGAGUGCUCAGAGAUGGGUGUGCCUCUUUUGGGGUCGGUUCACAGGUGGUGCAUGGCUGUCGUCAGCUCGUGUCGUGAGAUGUCGGGUUAAGUCCCGCAACGAGCGCAACCCUUGUUCACUGUUGCCAGCACGUUAUGGUGGGGACUCAGUGGAGACCGCCGGGGUCAACUCGGAGGAAGGUGGGGAUGACGUCAAGUCAUCAUGCCCCUUAUGUCCAGGGCUUCACGCAUGCUACAAUGGCUGGUACAGAGAGUGGCGAGCCUGUGAGGGUGAGCGAAUCUCGGAAAGCCGGUCUCAGUUCGGAUUGGGGUCUGCAACUCGACCUCAUGAAGUCGGAGUCGCUAGUAAUCGCAGAUCAGCAACGCUGCGGUGAAUACGUUCCCGGGGCU